CCUACGGGGGGCAGCAGUGGGGAAUAUUGGACAAUGGGGGCAACCCUGAUCCAGCCAUGCCGCGUGUGUGAAGAAGGCCCUCGGGUUGUAAAGCACUUUCAGUGAGGAAGAACGCCUGGUGGUUAAUACCCAUCAGGAAAGACAUCACUCACAGAAGAAGCACCGGCUAACUCCGUGCCAGCAGCCGCGGUAAUACGGAGGGUGCGAGCGUUAAUCGGAAUCACUGGGCGUAAAGCGCGCGUAGGUGGCUUGAUAAGCCGGUUGUGAAAGCCCCGGGCUCAACCUGGGAACGGCAUCCGGAACUGUCAAGCUAGAGUGCAGGAGAGGAAGGUAGAAUUCCCGGUGUAGCGGUGAAAUGCGUAGAGAUCGGGAGGAAUACCAGUGGCGAAGGCGGCCUUCUGGACUGACACUGACACUGAGGUGCGAAAGCGUGGGUAGCAAACAGGAUUAGAUACCCCGGUAGUC
rnacentral:rRNA from 1 species